rnacentral:rRNA from 1 species
AUUGAACGCUGGCGGCAGGCCUAACACAUGCAAGUCGAACGAGUGGCGGACGGGUGAGUAAUGUCUGGGAAACUGCCUGAUGGAGGGGGAUAACUACUGGAAACGGUAGCUAAUACCGCAUACCAUCAGAUGUGCCCAGAUGGGAUUGGCUUGGUGGUGGGGUAACGGCUCACAAAGGCGACGGUCCCUAGCUGGUCUGAGAGGAUGACAAGCAAACCUGGAACUAGGACACGGUCAAGACUCCGACGGGAGGCAGCAGUGGGGAAUAUUGCACAAUGGGCGCAAGCCUGAUGCAGCCAUGCCGCGUGUAUGAAGAAGGCCUUCGGGUUGUAAAGUACUUUCAGCGGGGAGGCGUUACCCGCAGAAGAAGCACCGGCUAACUCCGUGCCAGCAGCCGCGGUAAUUC